rnacentral:rRNA from 1 species
CUGAGUACGGCGGAACACGUGAAAUUCCGUCGGAAUCCGGGAGGACCAUCUCCCAAGGCUAAAUACUCCCUAGUGACCGAUAGUGAACCAGUACCGUGAGGGAAAGGUGAAAAGCACCCCGGAAGGGGAGUGAAACAGUUCCUGAAACCGUGUGCCUACAAGUAGUUAGAGCCCGUUAAUGGGUGAUAGCGUGCCUUUUGUAGAAUGAACCGGCGAGUUACGAUUUGUUGCAAGGUUAAGCGGAAAAAGCGGAGCCGUAGCGAAAGCGAGUCUGAAUAGGGCGCAUAAGUAACAGGUCGUAGACCCGAAACCAGGUGAUCUACCCAUGUCCAGGAUGAAGGUAAGGUAAUACUUACUGGAGGUCCGAACCCACGCACGUUGAAAAGUGCGGGGAUGAGGUGUGGGUAGCGGAGAAAUUCCAAUCGAACUUGGAGAUAGCUGGUUCUCUCCGAAAUAGCUUUAGGGCUAGCCUCGAGGUAAAGAGUCAUGGAGGUAGAGCACUGUUUGGACUAGGGGCCCUUCUCGGGUUACCGAAUUCAGAUAAAC